AGAGUUUGAUCCUGGCUCAGGACGAACGCUGGCGGCGUGCCUAAUACAUGCAAGUAGAACGCUGAAGAGAGGAGCUUGCUCUUCUUGGAUGAGUUGCGAACGGGUGAGUAACGCGUAGGUAACCUGCCUGGUAGCGGGGGAUAACUAUUGGAAACGAUAGCUAAUACCGCAUAAAAUUGAUUAUCGCAUGAUAAUUAAUUGAAAGAUGCAAUUGCAUCACUACCAGAUGGACCUGCGUUGUAUUAGCUAGUUGGUGAGGUAACGGCUCACCAAGGCGACGAUACAUAGCCGACCUGAGAGGGUGAUCGGCCACACUGGGACUGAGACACGGCCCAGACUCCUACGGGAGGCAGCAGUAGGGAAUCUUCGGCAAUGGGGGGAACCCUGACCGAGCAACGCCGCGUGAGUGAAGAAGGUUUUCGGAUCGUAAAGCUCUGUUGUAAGAGAAGAACGGGUGUGAGAGUGGAAAGUUCACACUGUGACGGUAUCUUACCAGAAAGGGACGGCUAACUACGUGCCAGCAGCCGCGGU
rnacentral:rRNA from 1 species